CAAGGCGAUGAUCCGUAGGGGGCGUGAGAGCGUGGCCCCCCACACUGGCACUGAGACACGGGCCAGACUCCUACGGGAGGCAGCAGUGAGGAAUAUUGCACAAUGGGCGCAAGCCUGAUGCAGCAACGCCGCGUGAGGGACGAAGGCCUUCGGGUUGUAAACCUCUUUUCUGAGGGACGAGGAAGGACGGUACCUCAGGAAUAAGUCUCGGCUAACUACGUGCCAGCAGCCGCGGUAAAACGUAGGAGGCGAGCGUUAUCCGGAUUUACUGGGCGUAAAGCGCGCGCAGGUGGCUUCGUGAGUCGGACAUGAAAGCUCCUGGCUUAACUGGGAGAGGCUGUUCGAUACUGCGGGGCUUGAGGUUGGGAGAGGGACGCGGAAUUCCCGGUGUAGUGGUGGAAUGCGUAGAUAUCGGGAGGAACACCAGUGGCGCAAGCGGCGUCCUGGCCCACAUCUGACGCUGAGGUGCGAAAGCGUGGGUAGCAAACAGGAUUAGAUACCCUGGUAGUCCACGCUGUAAACGAUGUCAACUGGGUGUCGGUAGUUUUACACUAUCGGUGCCGAAGCUAACGCG
rnacentral:rRNA from 1 species